rnacentral:rRNA from 1 species
GUGUCAGCAGCCGCGGUAAUACGUAGGUGGCGAGCGUUGUCCGGAUUUACUGGGCGUAAAGGAUGCGUAGGCAGAUGUUUAAGUCAGAUGUGAAAAUCCCUAGCUUAACUUGGGAACUGCAUUUGAAACUGGAUAUCUAGAGUGCGGGAGAGGAGAAUGGAAUUCCUAGUGUAGCGGUGAAAUGCGUAGAGAUUAGGAAAAAAACCAGUGGCGAAGGCGAUGCUCUGGACC